rnacentral:rRNA from 1 species
UGGGUAAUCUGCCUUUGAGCGGGGGAUAACCAGCCGAAAGGCUGGCUAAUACCCCAUACGCUUCCGGUCCCUCGGGUAAGGAAGGAAAGCUGCAUCGUGGAUGUGGCACUCGAAGAUGGGCUCAUGGCCUAUCAGCUUGUUGGUGGGGUAACGGCCUACCAAGGCAACGACGGGUAGCUGGUCUGAGAGGACGAUCAGCCACACUGGCACUGAGAUACGGGCCAG